GAGUGUUACAGCUCUUCUGGAAUUUGUCCAGCAGGUUUUCCGGUUCACACCAGAAAGCCAAA
rnacentral:snRNA from 1 species